GAUUCUCACUCUUGGAUAUUAUAGUGUUCUUUUAAUUUCAGUCUUUCAUGCAUAAUGCCUUACAAAAAUUUCCUUUUUUAUCUCACAAAUGCAACUAUUAGAGAUAUUAAGUCUCACGGAGCUCUUUAGUGACCUUUUGCUGCAACAACUUGGUAGCAACAGUAACACCGAACCUUCUCUAUGGAGACUGCCAUGUGACUGUCCCUUCAAAGACAUGCUGACUCCUCCUCACUUUCUUCUUACCUGGUUGAUCAGAGGGACCAGCUUGAUACAGGUAAUAGGCCUACCCUCAGUGGGUGGCGAAGUUGCAAAGAUUUGUUAGGACAGAAUUUGGAUGUUAUUCACAGAUGUCAGCUAACCCCUAAGGUGAGAGUUUUGUUUCUAUAUGACCUUGGAUGAAUUAUUUGCCCUCCCUAUGCUUUAGUUUCCUCACUUGUAAAGUGGAAACAAUAAUAACACCUACCUCAUAGGCUUAUUUUUAAGAUUAAAUUUGUCAUUCAUAGGGAUACGAUAUAUAGUGGCUAUUAGUAUGGUGUACCGUUGACCUGGAGGACUGUGGUGGAAUUUUUUCUCCUUAAUAGAUUAUAGGAAGAAGAGGUGGCAGGAAAGUAUGCUGAGAGGAUAUGAUAACCUUACUUUUCUUUCUUUCUCUGAAAUAGUAAGGGACAAAAGAACAUGUAGAAAUAAUUGCCAUACAAUGUGAUCUAUGCAAUGACAAAAAUAUGUUCAACAUAAAGAAGGGGCAAUGAUGGACUGGAAAUAGGGAGGACUUUGGGAGGAUAUGUUACAUGGGCAGAGUUUUGAGUAAGUGGGUAUGAGGGGCAAGUGAGGGUGGUGGUGAUGGGGGAUGUGCCAGGUGAGGAGGGUUUGGUUAGCACCAUGACUUAGGGAUGGUACUGGUGGAACUUGGGCUAUAGGGGAAUCUCAAGAGAUCAGACGAGAGAAAGGGAGAGAGAGAGACUGUAUCCAGCCAGUAAGUAAGAUUGACAUCACCUGUAUGGAGAUGUACAUUUGUGUCAGGGCUUCUCAAAGGGACUUAGUGUUCCAGGAACCCUUUCUCCUAUCUCUUCCAGAGCUGCCCUAGGCUUAUUAAUUCCAUUCCUAUUAAAGUGCAGCCCUGGGUGGGCAGACAGGUUUAGUACUGUCUCUUGAUUAAAUUUCUCUAUUUGGGAAACAUCAGUCUGUAAUUUUCCAGACACACCUGCAUAUCUACUGUUAUACCUUCUCCACUGCUGACUUUCCCCCAGCAACAUCCAGAAGGUCAGCAACAAAUGGGAAGCUGUCCCUGACCCUUCAAAUAUCAUCUCAGGGCUGAUUCUGAUCCAAAUGAAUUCAAAUGUGACUCACCUAGAGAGACAGAUUUACACAUUAUAGAAAUAGAGUUCCAGGUUUACAUAACAAAUCCAAC
rnacentral:lncRNA from 1 species